rnacentral:misc_RNA from 1 species
AAAAAAAAAAAAAAUUCUUGGGCUCAACUUGAAUCGAUGUGAAGAGGAAAGAUGGAGUCGGUUUUGUGGCACAACAGAGGAGUCAUAGCAGUCGAAUUAGGCAUCAUGGCGUGGGUUGGGUGAGAAGAAACUGAGGUCUGAGAGCAGGGAAUGGCAUCGUCAUCAUGGGUGGUUGUGUGAGACUUGAGAGGGUGAGAGUGAGAAUCGAGAGGAAGGGGAUAAGUGAGACUGUUAGAGUGAGGAAGAACUGAGUGAGACGCAGGAAGAAUGAGUGAGAGACUGAGAUAUGAGAGGUGAAGGGCACUGAAGAGUGGAGUGGACAGCUGGGCCUGGGCUUAGGAAAAUAGACAGCAGGCCUGGGCUAAUAUGAAAGUAUGGCCCAAUUUAGGUUGAUAAAUAAAUAUCUACAGUUAAUCCUAUAAUUUGUGCAUGAUUCUAACAUCAAUAAUCUGCAUGAUUGUAGCCUGAGAUACAUAAUAGGAUCCCUUAAUUUUAGCUAAUGAUUUCACAGCAUGCAAGCCAGGAAAUGUAAACAGUAACAGUUUUCUAAGUCUUUGAAUUCUGCUAGAAAACAAACAGCCAAUUGCAAUUAAAACUAUAAGUUCUGUAUUAGAAAUUUAUGAAUAUACAUAAAAAAGCCAAACUAAUUUUGAUAUCCUGACCCUUGUCUAUGUUAGAAAUAUGACAUUCUAUCCAUAUCCUUAAGUUGUGUUUGACAGCAAAGUCUCAUUUCUUGUGCAAAACUGCUUUUUGUUUAUUCAGAUAAUUAAAAGUGAAAAAGUAGAGAAAGAGAGAGCCAAACAAAAAUAAAAAUUAAAAAGAGUAAAAAUAAAAUUUUGCACAUAAAUUGAUAAGAAUUUAUCAGACCAAAUCUUAAUGUUUAACUGCCCUCAUGUGAUAUCUUUCACGGAUGCAUAAUAUGUUUGCUGUGAGAGCAUUAUUGUUACUAGUUACAAGCUAUGGUACUUAUGCUAAUACACAGUGACAGUGUCUAGCAU